CAUCCAGACCUUCAAGCAGGUCCUCCAACUUACAGGGGUUGGUGGCAGGACUGGCACUACAGCCACCAUUAAAAACGUCACACUGUUCAGGUGUCACCCAAUGCACUUGGAUCUCAGUCCGGGUGGGUGUGGAAACACACUGUAAUCACUGCCUGCUCCAAACCAGUGGUCCACAUGCAUACAAGUUGGAUUAAAGAAUACAUAAUUAUUUUAAAACCAGAGAAAAGAAAUGACAUACUGGUCUGGAACAUGGCUACGCAAGGGGGUUAGUGAAACACAAGUGGCUACGGUUCAUGGUUUGGAGUCAUGCAGGUGCUAAAUGAUGCCCUAUAGCACCACCAGUUAAGCACAGUGCAGAUGUUCCUUCAGUGAUGAGGUCCUAAACGUGCCCUAUUGGAAGCAGAGGUGACGUCACAAAGGACACAACACCAUGCAGUUGUGUAGUCAAGCCCUGUUGUUUUGGAUGGCACCAGGCCGGUGUGUCUGCCAUGAAAAGUCAAUCAAUGAGUAACGAGAAACUUUGCUGUAUUUCUACAUAGCUGAACUGACCUAACAAACAGCAGAAGUGGCCCGCUGCCAUAGCCAAGGAGGUCCUGCACUAUUACACCGGCUGUUCCAGGAGUAUGCAUUUUGAGAAUGUUGCCCAAUUUGCGCCAUUGUUCAUCUCUUGUAAUUUUAAAGGUCAUCAGCACCUCAGGGAGAACAAGGGGGCUUCAGCAUCUUAACUGCUGAAGAUGACCAGAUGUCCUUCCACAAAAAUAAAAACUUAUUUGAGCCAGCGUCAACCUGGAUGAUGGAAAAUGGCAGUCAUUAUGAGGGGAGCCUUGUCUGUGUGAAUCAGUCAGCAGUCUAGGAAGUUACUAUGGUCUGUCCCACAAGUCUUGGGUCCUUUUGACUUCUAAUUUUGAGCAGGACACGUUGGGGAGACUUCCUGCGACCAUCAACAUCAGCAAUGCCUCUUUUUCACAUCUGUAUGGCCAAAGCAAGUCUUGAUACUUGGGACUGGGUGACCAUCCUCGUGAAGACUCAUGUGUCCAUCAGUGCAGGGGAGAGAAGGGUCGAGGAAGACCAUCAGAGUGAUGUCGAUUGCUUAAUCAACCUGCGGCAACCUAUGGCCCAAAAAAAGGAAACCCGGCACUGGGGGAUAAUUAAAGAGUAACUUAUACCUCUUUAUUCUUAUCUAGAGUACCACGGUGCACACUCUGCCAAUGACACUCCGCACUGACAACAAACGGAGACAAAACAAACACCGCUCUCGGUUUUUAUACGUCUGCGGAAUCCCUUCCUCUAAUCGUGAUGAACGCCUCACCAAACUCCCUUCAAUCGUCUAGCCCGCCUUUACACAGUUUGUUCUGUAUGCGGAAGGAACCCUUUAAAUCUGCAAUUCACGCUUGAAUGUUAUUGUAUGGCCAUGGCCAAUACAACUCUAAUUACUCUCAGAUUGGUACCUCGUGCUGGGAUGUCUUCUCCCAUCCAGGCUCAAACGAGCCCCCCGCUCACCCGCACUGCUUCAGAUGAGCUCAUCCGCACAGCUACCCUGCCGAUUCCUGUACCGGUCCUCCCAGCACCACCUUCAACUCCUCAAGUUAACAGUUCAUCUCCUGGCCAUUCAUUUGCCUGAUCAUUCCAGCCUCAAGCGUCUCCUAACUGGAAGUGUGAUGACAUCAUAGUUCACAAACCACGAUCCUCUCCUGUUGGGUGUAUGGACUGUCUGGUGUCUUCCUGCUGCAUGAGGACUGUCUGAGAAUUUGAUGUCGUCAUGCAAAGAAAGGAGUGCUCCUGAUCCCAUUCUCUCGUCAUCAUCUCAUCAGGAA